UACGACUCGUUCGACCGACCGACCGUCUCGACUUCGCUAUGUUCUACCUGUACUCGUUUUCGUGUCGGGUCUUCAGCUUUAUAUUCCCUUUCCUUCCCAAUAAGACGUAGUGAUUCGUAUCGCCCCUUGACCGCGGUACCGUUUGUCAUCGAAAGUUCUUCUUUCUUCCUCUUAGCCGAUACUAGUGAGCACGUAAACAGAUGGCCCGCGUCUCGUCACACGCGCGAUUC